AAGGUUGUAGCUCAGUGGUAGAGCACUUGCCUAGCAUUCUGGAGCCCUGGGUUUAAUUCCCAGCACCUCA
rnacentral:tRNA from 1 species